GACUCUAAACGAUAGAUCAGGAACGUUCUGAAUUAUAUCUCACUGUUUAACGCAUUACUCAACCUUACGAUAAUCAAUUUUAGACGUUUCACUGGAAUAGCUGUGUUAAUAUUAAUUACAGACGUCGAUGAAAUUUCAAAUAGUAUAUUUCAGUAUGUAUGUUAGUAUGUAUACGUAUACAGUAUGUAUAAAAUAGUAUGUAUAUUUCAAUUACGUUUAAAAUCGGACAUCGUUUGCAAAAUAUUGCGAAACAAUAUUAAUAGCAUACAUCGUUGUGUACAUUGCAUUACGAAGCAAAGCAUCGCGUAACACACACAGAAUAUUAUUUAGACAGCAUUUUGUCAACGUUGGCUAUCUCACAGAGAACUAUUGAUUUCAUACUUUCAGCGGUCCUUCAUCAUUUGAAGAGUUUAAUGGCAGUCGUGAAUAAGCCAAAGAGUCUCUUACCACUUCGAUGAACAGACAUGGCAGUCCCGAGAAAUUACUUCUUUCACAUUUCAUUUCGUGCUCGUUCUUCUGGGUGAUGUCCAAGAUACCGCCCACGCUACGUCUAUAAGAGCCGGCUGAUAUAUCGCCUCGUUAAUGUUUCGCUUCAUCAGAUGUUAUGACUGAACAUCCUUUACCCUGCCACUGGGUGGUCAUUUCUGACUGCUCUUAUUGCGAAACCCACUGUUAUAAAUUAUAGGGAAUGUCGGUCCCGCGUUCGUAAGUCGCGCGUUUCGUCUUUCUGGGUGCAUAAACAGACAGCGUCCCUUCAUGGUGCUGCGAUCGAAGAUUAAUUUGCAUCCUCGUAACGGCUUCAUAUCGAUUUCGAUCGUUGUUUCGGAGAGAUAAAUUGCACGACGGUUGUUUUCUAUUUUUCUCCCGUGCAUCGAUACUCGUAAUCUGUCUCCGAUAAUACAUCUAGGAAAAAUGACGCCGUGAAAAAUUGAUGCAAAUUAUAGUCUGUGCCGCUCGCGUUAAUCUGUUAUCGAUAAAAAGCACGAUCGAUGGCUUCGCAUUUAAGUGGCAAAGAUAAAAUAUCGGCAAAUACGUCGUUUUUAUAAAAUAUUACGUACUGACGUCAUGUGGAAAACGACCAAGCGCAACAUUUAAUUUUUAGAUAUAAAUAGAAGGAUCUCAAGUUUCGUAGUUAGCAUAGAAUUUAAAAACGCUAUUUACGAGUCGAAGGUAAGAGAAGCGUUUACGUGUGUGUAGAUACAUUGAAGCGCGUUCGAAGCGAGACGUCAGCGUGACAAAACGUUAAACGGUUAAUUUAUUCAAAAGGCAUCUUAAUGAGAAAAUUAAUCACUGUCAAAUUCAACUGGUUACAUCGCUAUUUAUAGUCUACAUGAUUGCAUGACAUUUUUCGCAAUUUAAAUAUCAAACGAUUCAGCAGCAUACACAAAGUGCAAAGCUACUUUUACAUACAAUAGGCAAACCUAUGACGUUAUAUCAUAAAAAUCAAUGUUUAUAUCACGAUUGUACGUUGAAAAAGUACAAAUCCCUCGCUUGCGAAAGAUUAAAAAUUGUUAUAGAAAAUUUUUAAAUAUUCCAUUUUCCAUGUGCUUGUUACAUUCGCUUAAUUUCUGAUGCAGACAAAAAUAAGAAAAUAUGUAGGUAUACCUAUAAUAAAUGCGACUUGUUAAAAAAAAUUGCAUUUAUACUGAAACAUUACGUGAUAAAUGUUAUUUCGUGUCUUGAGCUAUCAUCCUUUCCAUCCAAUUUCCUAUUCAUUCCCUGAACUUGACAGUCAAUCUAUGCGUAUUACGAAGGGUUCGUCGUAGACGAUGUAUUCGAGGGUGAAUGCCUUUCCGUGCGCGAAUGCACGAUAUAUAUAAGAAAAUGUCUGUAUGCACAUACACAUUUACGUGCACGAAAAAUAGCGUGGGCCACGAUCUCUGUAAAAGCGUCGCCGUUUAGAUAAUAACGCGCAUUUUAUCUCCCUCAUAAAACCUAAUUUAUAGCCGCAUCCAAGUCUAUAGGCGUGUACGAACGGCCGUCGGGAAUAGGAAGAGCUCUGACAGAGACAGUGCCGUAAUUCUCAAGGUAGCAACUCCACAAACUUUACUUCAUCAGAAACAAUAUCGUCGCUCUUAGAAUUUUUCAUGCCGUAAUUUUACAUUGUUUUUACCGCGAACUGAAUUUUCGAUUAUACGCUACAAUGAAAAACCUUUACAAUUUAUAAUACAUUGGUAAAAAAAUUUUUCUUUCUUAUACGUUUCAACAUAUUCCAAUUUCAUAAUUUUUAUCGGCAGUAUAAAUAAAAGCUAUGAAUAAUAAAAGGUAUAAUAAUAACCAAAGUAUAUCAGGAUACUUGAUUAGAUUAAAAAGUGUCAUCAAUAUUUUAAAACUUUAUUCAACGUUAUAUUGAGAUGAAACGUUGAUUAAAUUAUCGCUUGCUUAAAUUAUUCAAAGGAAAAACUUGCGGUUCUUGAGAAACUUGUAGCAGGAUUCGUUAGUUACGGCACUGGAGGGGUUGCAUCAGAGCGAAGGUUGCUGAAAGUGAAUAGGCCGGUAAUAUUAUAUCGGUGUUGAAACGUCUCCCUUCGGCAUUUAGGUGACGAAAAAUAUGAGCGUCACGCGUGUGUGUGCCCGCGCGCGCGCUUUCGCGACGGCUGAAUGCAGUUACCGACGAUAAACUGCAUACGUGUUUACCGUAUAAUCUCCGACGGACGGCUAUAAAUCCGUGAUUUACUCUCAUUACUGGGCCUUUGAGUGUUACGACUUGUGCUUACGAUACACAACCGUCCGGAUAGUUUAAUUUAUUCAUUUAGGUCCGCGCUUUUCUGUCGUGCCAUGUUCCACUUUACUGGUCGUACAAAAGUUGUCCGACGACACACGCGUGACAAUAAUGAGACGUAUCGUUGCUCCGUCCGAAACACCUUACUAAUUGAACGUCAGAUUUUAUGAAUUCACCCAAUCGAAGUGUCAUCUUAAUAGAAACAUGUAGCAAUUAUAAAACAAAAACAGAAAGAACCGUUUGGAUGGCAUCUAAUAGCUCGUAACACGUCUCACAAUAAUCUGUUAUGUUGAAACAAUAGGUAUUAUUGGUUGAAGCAUCGAUAGAAAAGUAUAACGACACUUGCGGUUUUAUACGGAAACCGCUAGAAAUUUGAAAAAAAAACAAACACCAUUUUUGCGAAUUUGUUAAAAAACUGUUUUCUCUUGAGCUACAAUGAUUUCGAAAUAUGCUAUAAAGCUCAACAUUUUCAACAGCUUCUUCCUAUACAUAUAAGUUUCAAGUUAUAUGCAAAAUAUAACUAUAAGAUUGGUAGUACAUAAUGUUAAUCCGGCUGCGCACCGCGUCGUGAGACAGCCAGCCAACAUUAUUUAUAUUAAUAAAGAUAAGGGGAUUCGCAAGGCCUCAUGGAGCCGGAUUAAUAUUACUACAUACUAACUGCUAAGGCCGAGCAGCGAGAUAUUUUUACGUAUAACUCCGAAGUUAAAGCCAACUGCCAUUAUAUGUAUAGGAAAAAAUUGUACAAAAUGUUGAGCUUUACGACAUAUUUUAAAAUCAUACAAAGCAAGAUUUUCGACAAAUUCACCAAAAUGGUUAUUUUUCUCCAAUUUUCUGCGGUUUCCGUGCAAUAAUACUAGCGUCGUUACGUUCCUCUAUUGAUGCUCCAACGAAUGACACUCUUUUCACGAGGAUCUAUCGACUUCCAUAAAGUGAAACGUAUUCAAUAUUUAAUAUUUGAAUUUAAUUACUUUUGAAUUUAUCGUCCGUGCCUCGCGACCAGAAAUUCCUUUAAAAGUGUGCCUGGUCACGCGGAUAUGAAUUCUAAUGUCUGUACGGAAAACUAGAAACUACGGCUAAAGAACUGGGAACGUUGAAAUAAUUGAAACCGCAUUCAUGAGAUACUCUGUAGGUAGGUUUGUCCCUGUCGAGAAAUCAAUGCAAAUACAACGAAUUUCAUGGCACCACGUGUCAAGAGUAACGAGUGUAGAGUGCGGACGCGCUGGACGAGUAUAAGCGUAGAAGAGGAACGUUAGGGUGAAAGCAAUGUUGGAAGGAUUGCAGGAGAAGAGGGUAUAAGGUAACAUACAUCACGUUCCCAGUUUAUGGUCCGAUACGCUCCUAGGAAUUGGCACCCGUGCUGAGCUUUCCCGCAAAUGUAAGGAACGUAGGGGUACGAAGCAACGAGAUACGAGGCGUUAUGGCUCUUCCUGGCUCGUAACCUCUGGUCAUAAAGCUACUGCACGCUAAAAUAUUGUCCGCCGCCACGUCUCCACGCCUACGCGUCUAUCCGUCGAUCUAUCUUAAUGCUAUUAUCGUAAUUUAUUAGUGGAGUUCCCGGAGAAUGAAUCGAUCCAUCGUAGCCGCCCCAAAAACGGAUCACGGAUAAUCUAAGACGAUCACGAUCGUAAUGAGACUAUUAAAUAAAAGCGAUACCAACUCAAAUUAGUUCACAUCCGUUUAAGUGUACUAUUCGAAUAUCGUAUUUUUGUAAGGAAGGAUGAUUAUUAUCAACCACGUAGAAUGCAAUACAGAACCACAUGAAAUAUAAUACAAAAACAAAUAACGUAUUUUCAUUAUCUCUAAUUAUAGAAUCUUCUCCCGGUCGUUUUAGUCACCUUAGUUACGCAAUUUAUCACUUAUCGAUUAAUUAAUAAAUACACGAGAUCAAAUUAAUAUUUAAGAUUCAAAAUGCUUAAGCAGAACGGGGAUCUAUAAUAAGCCAACAUUUAGCAAAGUAGUAUACGAAGAUCUAUAUAUAGAAUUAAUAAAACUGUUAACUUAAUAGAACUCAUUAAUAACUGUUACUAGCUGUUUUUAUAAAACGAAAUAUCCGUCUUGGCAACUUAAACUAUGGAAGAAAGAUGUUCAUCAAAUAUAUCCACAAGGACAAAAAACGGAGACUGCGCAAAAGACAUUUAAAUAAUGUAGUGUUUCGUAUUUCGAAGAAAAUAUAAGUAAGAAUGACAACUUUGUGGAAGAAACAUUGUGCCAAUUGAAGUCCUCAUUCUCACACUCAGGAUUUAUAAUCAACCGUACAAAUUUAGUGAUGGUAUUAUUUGAUCUCUGCAUUGUCGCUAACAAUCUGCGUCGUAAUAAAUCAUUUCCUCGACAUUGAUUGAAAGCUUAAUUACACAAAAGACUGGCAAGUCUUAAAAUUUUUAAACGAUCCAAUUAUCGAACUAUUCAUCUUGUUCAAAUGCAUUUAGUUUUACAAUUUAUAAUUUCAAAUUAUAAAUAAUAUUACAAAAAUAUUUUUACUGGCGCAAUUAAUCAGAAAUGAACAAACAGUAUUUUUUAAAUAUUUUCAAAAUGGAUAGGCGAUUUUUAGACGGUUUGAAGAAAUAUAUAUAUAUAUCACAACAAUUGUUCAAGGCGUACACCAAAGCAAGACUGCGAUUUAAGGUGAUGCGCAUCCGCGAGCGUACUUACACGCAUUCAUAGACACGCUUACACACGUACGAUAUUAUUAUCUCGUGAUUCAUAGCGCGCAUUCAUAAAUGUUCCCAAGCUGUAUAACGGCACGGUACACAGCGGUAUGUAUCGAUUAACGUCGCUUCCCGACGGGAUUUACAGCCGGUGACUAAAUUAUUUAAAGUCUUCAUUUGUAGCGCGACGGAUGGACGGACACGACCUGGCGACCACGUAUCCAGUUCUUCUUCGGGCGACCUGGUACAAUCGCUGACAAAAGUUCAUUAUAUCUUCGACCUCGACCAAAGCCCCGUUGAUGCACGUAUAUACAAUGUUUUCAGUUCGCUUCGUUUCGGUUCGGAGUUAUUGUUGUUGCAUUUUCAAGAUGUAAGCGUCUUACACAAAGGUGAUAGUCCACGGUAGGAGAUGAAACAAUAGAAAAUAAACCACGGAAUGUAUGAAUUAUUGUAAUAUAGUAAAUUAUUACAAAAAAUUUAUUGAAUAUUUGAUCGUGAACGAAAAAAAUGUGUUCAAUUUCUGGUUGUCGGUGAACUUUUGCACGUGAGUAUACGCAAGAAAGAUUGCCGGAUUGUGUGGCGUGCCGCGGCUGCCACCGUCCGCGCCACGAACGUCCAAAUGCUCCAGAGAAGAAGAAAGGGAAACAGAGAAGUAGGAGAGAAACCGAUCGGUCAAGAAAGAAAUAAAGACGAAAAGCUAAAUAGAAAAGGAAGAAGAGAGAAGAGAAGAGAAAGGAAAAGAAGGGAAAAGAAGGGAACAGAAGGGACGAGAAGAGAAGAGAAGAGAAGAGAAGACAAGGGAAGAGAACAGUGUUGCAGGCGUCCAUGGAAGGCACGUCGUGCAGAACGUCGGCGAACUCGUGUGUGUUCCGUGUUCCGAAUGCACGGAACAAGCGCUGCUUGUCCGCGGCCACCUGAGUUAUGAUCGCUCUGUGCCCACCCUGGCUGCUCGGCUGGCUGCUUGGCUGCCUACCUCCUUGCUUCCCUAACUGCCCUCUUCUUCUUCACCCUUCUACUUUCACAGCGGCCAUCUUGACUCCAGGAACCGGUUAGCUCCUCCGACUUGGUAUAUUCCACACGGUGAGUUUUACGGACACACAUAAACACCGAAUGAACAGUGUUCGGCGACAUCAGCGACUGUGGCGCCCUCGGAAGUCCAUCCGAGUCUACUCGACGUUAAUGGCUCGUGUGGCGCGAGUUCCUUUGUACUGUUUAAUAACGUCGUUAUAUUACCAAGCACGGUCGUCCGGCAGAAUUGAUUUUUAAAUCCACUCGUUUCAAAGUACCGCCCCGAUUCGCUUGCCUUUGUCGAUGCUUUGAAACAUCGAUGCACAGAUGCGUUAGUUGUCGAUAGUUGUUCUCCAUGCUCGUUUGAAGGAUCAAAGCGCAACCGCGGUUAUCGUUGCGUUGAGCUGGGGAAAUUUUAAAGAUAUUACAAAAGAAGAAAAACCACGGAUUGUUUCUCGCGAAACGCGUGAACCGGGAGAUAACACGCUUUAAUAUUCACCUUCGUGCACGUCUCGAUAGCUGUGUAAGAUUUAUCUUUCAUUAGUAAGUCAUUUGCAUUGAAUAGACACGUUAUGGGUUAACGGGUGUCUCGUUAAUUGUUUGUUCCUGUUCCUUGUCUAACUGCUGACGCCGAUACUGGCGUGGCCUGACGCUUUGACAAGGUACACCGUAGAUAUUACAGCGGUUUGUAGUAUAGCAUAUCAAAUUGCGGUAUGCGAAAAGGUGUAAGAGAGCCAACCGCAGCCCACGGCAACGAGGCGUGGUCGCCGCAAUUACCUCGAUAGAGUUACAAGACUUGUUUUAUGCUCUCGCACAAAUUUAUUAGCCCCAUUCGCGUCAGUUUAAUUACGAAUAAGAUCCGCUGUGAUUCUUUCUCUUUUUCCUCCUUCUCUUUUUCCUAGAGGAAACGUACAGACGUUACAGCUACCUCUUCAUGAGGAUCGGGAACUUCAUUCGGGACCAGUGCAUCUAUAUGUGUUACUACACGUUCGAAAAUCCUAAUGAAUUAUACUUACACAGAAGCGCGCUUGAUAUCAAUCGCGUUCAUUUUAUACUAGACGCAUUCCUUGAAACUUCUGCGGUAAUUAGUUUUACCGCUAAACGCUUAGCGGAACCCGAGAGGCUGCUAACUGCUUUCCACCUACGCAACACCGCUUCGCUUCUUCCCUUCUCUACACCUAUUUUCCCUCUUUCUUUCUCUUUGCUCUUUCCGUCCUCAUCAUCGUUAUUCCGCUCGCUUUUUCUCCCUUUACUCCCUUGAAUCUAGGUACCGCCUCGUCGACUCUCUCGCUUCGCCGCUAACAGUGAGCAAUUAAGCGGAGCAAAGCCAAGGAAUAUGUAUUAUGAAAUUAAUUAUAUCGUGAUAUUGGAGUCGCGAGCUGGCGUGCAAGGUGUAGAUAAGCAUUUAAAUUGACACAUUCCUGAUGUAUCUUAGGCUGUGCGGAUAUCGCAUUUACGAUAAACAUUGAUUUUAUUACUGCUUCGACUGUAUGCUGCAGCAGCAGCUUUUACAACCACACAUGCAGAUAAGCAUUUUAUAUUUUGUACUUGCUAAGUUAAUUAUUUUGAGUUCCAUGCACGAUUCUUUUUAAUAUCUUUAAUAUCUUUCACCUGCGUUUGCAUAUUAUUUACAAAUUACAUGUCGACACUUUCUCCUAAUUCCUGUUACCGUAAGUAUUAGUAAAAAAAAGUAAUAUUGAGAAUAUUGCGUCGCAAAGUUAGAUCAAGAUAAAUUUUCAUAAAUAUCGUUAUCGCUAAAAAAUUAUACUUUUUAUGCAAAUAAGUCGUGGAAAAAAUAUUGGAAAUGACGCGUGUCCUGUUUGUACUCGUAAACGGAGAUUCGUUAAAGGAAAGAAGAAACAGCGAAGAAUGUCAGUAAGCGUGGCGCUCGACAUCGAAUCGCAGCCCCUCCACAAACGUGGAAGACAAAUCGGCCCCGGUGGGUGCAAACGUCGUAAUUAUCGGAGGCGGUAAUCUCUCGACGUGGAAGUGGAGGAUGAGGAGAAGGAAGAAGAAGAGGCGCUCAGUGAAAACUGCGUGACAGAGUGGCUCGGCCUGUUCACCCUUGGCGUCCUCCGAGUUGGCGUACCCUUUUGCCCGGAGUGUCGGCCAUACAUUACCGCCGUUAGAGCCCGCCAGCACUAUAUUAUUCCCUGACACGGCGUGGCGUGGCGUGGCGUAGUAUGGUGCGGUGUGGUAUGGCAUGGCGUACUGUAAAACGACGCGGCGUGAGCAGAAGAGAAAUGGAGAAAGUGAAAGAGAGAAGUUCGGGAAGGGGAAGGAGAGAAAGAGGGGGAGAGAAAGAGAGAGAGAGAAAGAAAGAGAGAAAGAUAGAAGUGGAAGAAGGAGGCGCAAAGAGGACAGGGAUACAACAGAACGGUUGGGGUAGGAAGGGUGAAAGGCGAGAGAAUACGAAAAGAGAAAACAAGAGUAAGAAGGAGAGGAGCGGGGAGAGAAAAAGGGAGAAAGAGACGCGGAAGAAUUGGAGGGAGAUAGAAAACCGGUACACUCGACUGCUGAUAAACUACCCUCUGCGCUCACUUCGCAGGUAUAAUAAAAUUAUAUCUGGUCGGCUGUAUCGCGAUUCUGGCUGCGAGCGGCGAGGUCGGCACAAAGUUGCCGCCUGCGCGCCUACGGCGGCCGUGAUAAAUAACGUUACGCAGGCCGAGAAGCGGCGGGCUGCAUAAGCAUGGCCCUGAUUCCACGUCGCGGCACUUCUCGAGUCACGGCCACGCCAUGGUAAGCCGCACCGUAGCCACGCCGCGCCGCGCCGUGCCACUACCGCGGCUGCGGCCAGCACGCGGACACGGACGUGUACCGGUGUACCACCAUCGCUUUCAGAACUGCUGCUGCUGCCGCCGCUGCUGUUGCUGUUCCUGUUGCUGGACUAUAGCUGGAUUUCGAACGCGCAUACAAUCACAAUCUUUCUACAAGAUCCUAACACCUUUCCUAUGUGUAGCUCGAAGCACGUGGAACGUCCAUUUCGCUUCGUUAUACGCUCUGGCAAACGAGCGAACACGCCAAAGCCAAAAUCAACGCCAGAGGUUGAGCGCUGUGCACUUCUGUGCGCUUCACUCAACUCGUUCGUAAAUUAUAAGUCUUGGGGACAUGGUUCGGCUUGAAAUACUGGUACUGACACGCGCAGUGGGACGCGGAUGCAUAAACGCGCCGACGAACUGGAAAACGACGCAGCGGCUUUCGAACAGGGACGUCCGGAACGUUCGUUCCAGUUAGCGCGGAACGUCGUAUAUGCGACGUGAAUACGACAUCGCGUGACAGUCCACUCGUACACUCCGCUUCGUCGACUUUAUCGGACGCGAUACCGUGAUUCAGGCAUUCGACGAUGGUAUCAUCGCACGCCUGCCGCUUCGAGCAGGUGAAUUUAUUCCUUUUUCAAACUGACUUUAACAUGACCGCCAUUCUAGAUCGAUCUUUGUUAUAUUUCCUCCACCCGAUAUUUACGAGUCUUUGAAACGUAUCUAAAAAUAUACGUGUAGCUACAUAUUUUCAUACUUUAAAGUAUUUUAACAUUUAAAUCGAGUAAAUGACAAGGAAAAUUGACGUGUCUAAAAUUUUCUAUUUAAACUGACAUGACAUAUUGCUGGAAAACUGCCAAAGAAUCAUCCCACUCAUCAGCAUUUAAAGUACGUUCAAGAUGCAUUGCCAAACGUGCCAGUGAUUAACAGAUGCCGCAGUUGUUAGCAACUACCAACCAAAUCGAGGCUUAUCACGGAUUACAUCUCCCCGAGGGGCUCUUACUUCCUACGACGAAACUAGGAUCUAUACUUGGAUGCCGGAUUUCGAAUAUUAUACCUUGCCUGCCACUUCCCGCUGUCAUGGCUUAUGUCAUCCUGUCUUUUCUUUACCUGUCAAGUAGAAAGACACAACCUGUUCCCUAAUGGGAAAGCUCCUUUGCUAGAAUAAAGGGGACGUUAUUUUCGUAGGAUUGAUAUCGAGCAAAUACAUUGCAUUGUAAAAUUAGUAAUAUCUUUAAGGAAUGUUGUAGAUCCUAUAUCAACAACAAACAGCGAAUGAUCCUUCGCAUCAAGAGAAUUUUCUGUGCAUAAUUCCGAAAAUAUUUUUAAGGUGAUAUUAUAUUUAUAGCAGUGAAUUUGGAAGAGAACACAUCAGAACAAAGUUAACACAGUCAUUUCGAAAAUUCUUCUGUCAAACAUACCAAGUAAAAUGGCAGGCUAAGAGAGACUCGUGAAUGCAAUAUGUAUUACGCGCAUGAAGAUAAUAUAGAGCCUCAGGGAGGUGGUGGCUGACUGAGUUUAUUCCAAAAGACAACAAUAGAAUGCAUCGGUAGAGCGUAUUGUAUGCAGGAGGGCGUGGUAUGGUUUACAAUACCUGCUGCAUUAUGUAUCUCAUGCCCGUGGUUAUCUCUGUGUGUUGUAAUCCUAAACAACCAUCUAUACACGCACUUCAUAUGGUAGCUACAGUUCUAACAACAGUGUGAUUCACUUAUAGAUGGCCCAAAUCAUUUUUUAGAAUUAUUUACUCACUAUUCUACCGAAUAUUGACACUAUUGACGAAGUCACUCGAGUUAUUCCUUGAUAAGUUUCGAAUAAUAAAUUUUAUAUGGAGAAAUAUUUACUAGAGCGUAUUAGAUUUUGUCUAUAGAAUUAAAUUCUUCAUUUCGAAGUGAGAUAUAAGGCAGAUAUAAAAAGUAUUCGUAUUUUUUAUAAUAUUAGAAUUUAUAUAAAUGUUAUACUUUCGGUAAAUAUUUGCGAAAGUGUACCAAAGUGUACCAAGCUUUACCGACCCUAAAAUAAAAGCGUUCGCUAUAUUUAUUUACAUUCAUGUCUUUUGACUUUUAGGAUUAUUUCCUUUCAUGUUAAAAGUCAUGAAAAAAGGUAAAUUACCAGUCAUAGGACAAAGGAGCGAUAAAACGAAAAACGCGGCUGCAGAUUAAUAUGUAUAAUGUAUAGUGCCCAAUUGUAUGAUAGUUUAAAAGAUUCAAAUCUAAAUGGCCGUGUUAUAAAUGUUACCAUAAAACAACUGGACAGAUUCAAGCUUAUACUCGAUGCUGAGCAAAAGAAUGAACUAAAUGAAUACUUCGACAGAGGAAAGGUACUUUUUACAUAACUUUUGUCUUAAAUUUAAGGCUUCUAAUAUUGCGAAUAUAAUUCGGGAAAAAAUCAUAUUCCUUAUUAUAACUUUGGUGUGAGUUAAUAUAUGUUGCAUUAAUCACUACAGCUCAUUAAUCACUAUUUAAUAAGUUUUGUGGAAUUUAUCCGGAAAAGGGAUACCCGUUAAUGUCCGCUGUAAGAAGAUACGUUAUAAUUGCAUGGUACUGUUUGUAGUUAUUAGAAAGAAAAAUAGUGAAUAUAAAUAUUAAGUCGGACUGCUAGUUGAUUUCGUUCUUUCAUAAUGGUAUAAAAACAUCACUUUCCUGGUGUGAAAUGGGUAAUAUUUUAUUUUCUUAAUAGUCGCACAUUUAGUCAUAUAAAAAAUGCAGCAAAACGAGCAACAGAUAAUCUUAAUGACGCUAAGUAAGCUGUAAUAGAAAGGAGGAUAGAAGCCAGAAAAACGGUGCUUUGAGAAGCAUCAGAAAGGAAGAAAAUGGGUGUAUAAAUCUGGAGAGUCGGGAACAUAGUCUAGCAGCUGGUUUCCGUCACUCAUGCGGUUCCUUUGAUCUUCCACGCGUCUACCCCGCACUUAGGCGCGUUUUCUAACUUAAUUUCAACUCGGUUGCACGCCUAACACUGCUCUCAGUUGCAGUUUGUUUCCGUUGCGGCAGAAUGUCAAAGACACUGAGAUUUCGGAAUUCAUCCCAUCUCGUUUGCUCGAUGACAAAGGCGAACCACUACGGCUUACGUUACACUUUCAUUUCUCCUCUAAUUAAGGCUUUUCAAGGUUUAUUACAAACUUUACCGUGCAUGUAAUGUUUAACGGUAGUUACGAGUAUUUCAGAAAAUGUAAGAUAGAUAUAGAAAGGAAAACGAAAAUAAAAAUAAAAAUGAAAUAAAUUUGUUAUAUGUAUGUAGACAUAGUCUAUAGUCUAUUACGACUAUAUGUACGUAUAUUAAAUCUACUUUAGGUUGGAAUAAACUUUUCGUAACUUGUA